AUAACGCUGGCGGCGUGCCUAACACAUGCAAGUCGCACGCGCUUCGCAAGAAGCGAGUGGCGGACGGGUGAGUAACACGUGGGAACCUACCUUGAGGUGAGGGAUACCGGCGAGAAAUCGCCGACAAGCCCGCAUGCGCUUCCUUCUUGGGAAGCAAAGCUCUGUUUAGAGCGCCACAGGAUGGGCCCGCGGCCGAUUAGCUAGUUGGUGGGGUAAGCGCUCACCAAGGCGUCGAUCGGUAGCUGGUCUGAGAGGACGAUCAGCCACACUGGGAUUGAGAACGGCCCAGACUCCUACGGGGGGCAGCAGUGAGGAAUUUUCCGCAAUGGACGCAAGUCUGACGGAGCAACGCCGCGUGCAGGAAGACGGCCUUCGGGUUGUAAACUGCUUUUCUGUGGGAAGAGAACGGACGGUACCACAGGAACAAGCCCCGGCUGACUACGUGCCAGCAGCCGCGGUAAUACGUA
rnacentral:rRNA from 1 species